rnacentral:lncRNA from 1 species
GCCCUUUGCUCCCCUGGCGACUGCCUGGACAGUCAGCAAGGAAUUGUCUCCCAGUGCAUUUUGCCCUCCUGGCUGCCAACUCUGGCUGCUAAAGCGGCUGCCACCUGCUGCAGUCUACACAGCUUCGGGAAGAGGAAAGGAACCUCAGACCUUCCAGAUCGCUUCCUCUCGCAACAAACUAUUUGUCGCAGGAAUAAAGAUGGCUGCUGAACCAGUAGAAGACAAUUGCAUCAACUUUGUGGCAAUGAAAUUUAUUGACAAUACGCUUUACUUUAUAGGAUAAAACCCAGGAGGUAGAAUUGCUGGGUUGAUAGAAGAGAAAGGAUGAUUGGCAAAUUAAAGCUUCAGUAGAGGAAAACCUGGAAUCAGAUUACUUUGGCAAGCUUGAAUCUAAAUUAUCAGUCAUAAGAAAUUUGAAUGACCAAGUUCUCUUCAUUGACCAAGGAAAUCGGCCUCUAUUUGAAGAUAUGACUGAUUCUGACUGUAGAGAUAAUGCACCCCGGACCAUAUUUAUUAUAAGUAUGUAUAAAGAUAGCCAGCCUAGAGGUAUGGCUGUAACUAUCUCUGUGAAGUGUGAGAAAAUUUCAACUCUCUCCUGUGAGAACAAAAUUAUUUCCUUUAAGGAAAUGAAUCCUCCUGAUAACAUCAAGGAUACAAAAAGUGACAUCAUAUUCUUUCAGAGAAGUGUCCCAGGACAUGAUAAUAAGAUGCAAUUUGAAUCUUCAUCAUACGAAGGAUACUUUCUAGCUUGUGAAAAA